rnacentral:rRNA from 1 species
UACGUAGGUGGCAAGCGUUGUCCGGAUUUACUGGGCGUAAAGAGCGCGCAGGCGGUCGUUCAAGUCGCGUGUGAAAGCCCCCGGCUCAACUGGGGAGGGUCACGCGAUACUGAUCGACUCGAAGGCAGGAGAGGGAAGUGGAAUUCCCGGUGUAGUGGUGAAAUGCGUAGAUAUCGGGAGGAACACCAGUGGCGAAGGCGGCGAUCUGGGAAGAUACUGACGCUGAGGUGCGAAAGCGUGGGGAGCAAACAGG